UACGAAGGGGGCUAGCGUUGCUCGGAAUGACUGGGCGUAAAGGGCGCGUAGGCGGCUUGUACAGUCAGAUGUGAAAUUCCUGGGCUCAACCUGGGGGCUGCAUUUGAUACGUAUGGGCUUGAGUGGGGAAGAGGGUCGUGGAAUUCCCAGUGUAGAGGUGAAAUUCGUAGAUAUUGGGAAGAACACCGAUGGCGAAGGCGGCGACCUGGUCCUUGACUGACGCUGAGGCGCGAAAGCGUGGGGAGCAAACAGG
rnacentral:rRNA from 1 species